GCGACCCCAGGACGGGCGAGGCCACCCGCCGAGUUUAAGCAUAUCAAUAAGCGGAGGAGGAG
rnacentral:rRNA from 1 species